GAAUGAAAAUAACCAUCACAUAACAAAAUGCACAAUAAGUGCCAUAGUCAUACAUCAAGUCAGAUACAAAUCUCCAGAAUCGGGAAAGAAAUACAAACAAAUGAAUUUCGUCAACAAGCCUGACGGUAAUCCAACUCAAAUGAAAGAUCUAGCCUGAUGAGGGUCCCACAGAUGGCCCUAUCUCAGCUUCCAUCUUCGCGAACUCUACGGCGAACCUGAGCUCGGUGUUCUCCUGCUGUAAUCUCCCCACUUCCUUCUGGUGAAAGGGUCCCACAGAUGGCCCUAUCUCAGCUUCCAUCUUCGCGAACUCUACGGCGAACCUGAGCUCGGUGUUCUCCUGC
rnacentral:lncRNA from 1 species